CAAUAGCGUAUAUUAAAGUUGUUGCGGUUAAAAAGCUCGUAGUUGGAUUUCUGCUGAGAACGACCGGUCCGCCCUUUGGGUGUGUAUCUGGCUCUUUCUUGGCAUCUUCUUGGUGAACGUUGCUGCACUUGACUGUGUGGAGCGCUACCCAGGACUUUUACUUUGAGGAAAUUAGAGUGUUUCAAGCAGGCAUACGCCUUGAAUACAUUAGCAUGGAAUAAUAAGAUAGGACCUCGGUUCUAUUUUGUUGGUUUCUAGAGCUGAGGUAAUGAUUAAUAGGGAUAGUUGGGGGCAUUCGUAUUUAACUGUCAGAGGUGAAAUUCUUUGAUUUGUUAAAGACGGACUACUGCGAAAGCAUUUGCCAAGGAUGUUUUCAUUGA
rnacentral:rRNA from 1 species